CAGAGACAGAGGGAGUUUCUGACCUGAGCUGAAAUCAAGAGUUGGUAUCUUAACCCACUGACUCCCCCUCUGGUAAUUCUUAAGUCUCCAGUAGGAACCAAAGCCUUCUGACAGAGGCCUCCGCAUUUGGCCACCAGCCUCCUUAGGGAUGAAGACGAUGUAGGAUACAGCAAGUUUUGGUUUCCUGGAUAUCACUCCCUUCACUUAGCACAAUGGACUUGGAUGACAGUCAAGAACAUGUCCUGAGCACUGACCUGGCGCCAGCGACCGCACCUCGCCUUGGUAGGGAGGCCAACCAAUGAGCAGGACUGAGUCAGGUAGAAGAGUCGAUAAAACCACCUGAUCGAGGGAAGGCAAGGCAGAGCGGAGC